rnacentral:rRNA from 1 species
GACGAACGCUGGCGGCGUGCCUAAUACAUGCAAGUCGAACGCAGUGGGGACGGGUGAGUAACACGUGGGUAACCUCCCAUCAGAGGGGAUAACACUUGGAAACAGGUGCUAAACCGAUACAGAUGGAUGGACCCGCGGUGCAUUAGCUAGUUGGUGAGGUAACGGCUCACCAAGGUCACGAUGCAUAGCCGACCUGGUGGGGGAAUCGGCAAACCGGGGAUUGAGACACGGCCCAGACUCCUACGGUAGGCAGCAGUAGGCAAUCUUCGGCAAUGGUCGAAAGUCUGACCGAGCAACGCCUCUUGAGUGAAGAAGGUUUUUGGAUCGUAAAACUCUGUUGUAGAGAAGCGGUAUCUAACCAGAAAGCCACGGCUAACUACGUGCCAGCAGCCGCGGUAAUUC